rnacentral:rRNA from 1 species
CCUACGGGUGGCAGCAGUGAGGAAUAUUGGUCAAUGGUCGUGAGACUGAACCAGCCAAGUAGCGUGCAGGAUGACUGCCCUAUGGGUUGUAAACUUCUUUUAUAUGGGGAUAAAAUACGUUAUGCGUACUCUCUUGUAUGUACCGCAUGAAUAAGGAUCGGCUAAUUCCGUGCCAGCAGCCGCGGUAAUACGGAGGGUCCGGGCGUUAUCCGGAUUUAUUGGGUUUAAAGGGAGCGUAGGCGGAAUGUUAAGUCUGCUGUGAAAUUCUGCGGCUCAACCGUGACACUGCAGUGGAAACUGGCAGGCUUGAGUGCGCGAGAGGUAGGCGGAAUUCGUGGUGUAGCGGUGAAAUGCUUAGAUAUCACGAAGAACUCCGAUUGCGAAGGCAGCUCACGGGAGUGCAACUGACGCUGAGGCUCGAAAGUGCGGGUAUCGAACAGGAUUAGAUACCCCAGUAGUC